rnacentral:rRNA from 1 species
GAUGAACGCUAGCUACAGGCUUAACACGUGCAAGUCGAGGGGUAGCAGGGUAGCAAUACCGCUGACGACCGGCGCACGGGUGAGUAACACGUAUCCAACCUUCCCAUAACUCGGGGAUAGCCUUUCGAAAGGAAGAUUAAUACCCGAUAGUACUUAUAUAGGGCAUCCUACAUAAGUUAAAGAUUUAUUGGUUAUGGAUGGGGAUGCGUUCCAUUAGAUAGUUGGUGAGGUAACGGCUCACCAAGUCUUCGAUGGAUAGGGGUUCUGAGAGGAAGGUCCCCCACAUUGGUACUGAGACACGGACCAAACUCCUACGGGAGGCAGCAGUGAGGAAUAUUGGUCAAUGGGCGAGAGCCUGUACCAGCCAAGUAGCGUGAAGGAUGAAGGUCCUAUGGAUUGUAAACUUCUUUUAUAGUAGAAUAAAGUGAUCCACGUGUGGAUUUUUGUAUGUAUACUAUGAAUAAGGAUCGGCUAACUCCGUGCCAGCCGCCGCAGUAACAC